rnacentral:rRNA from 1 species
GAUGAACGCUAGCUACAGGCUUAACACAUGCAAGUCGAGGGACCGGCGCACGGGUGAGUAACACGUAUCCAACCUGCCCUUUACUCGGGGAUAGCCUUUCGAAAGAAAGAUUAAUACCCGAUGUAAAGGAUGGGGAUGCGUUCCAUUAGGUUGUUGGUGAGGUAACGGCUCACCAAGCCUUCGAUGGAUAGGGGUUCUGAGAGGAAGUGCGCCCACAUUUGAACUGAGACACGGUCCAAACGCGUACGGGAGGCAGCAGUGAGGAAUAGUGGGCAAUCGGCGUUAGCCUGAACCAGCCAAGGAGCGGGAAGGAGGAAGGCUUAUGGGUCGUAAACUUCUUUUAUAUAAGAAUAUGUAUUAUAUGAAUAAGGAUCGGCUAACUCCGUGCCAGCCGCCGCGGUAAUUC